UCCCUGGAGGACUAGUGGUUAGGCCACGGUGCUCUCCACCAUGGCCCGGGUUCGAUUCCCAGGCAGGGAA
rnacentral:tRNA from 1 species